UUAAGGCAGAUCUCUGUUCUUCAGACACUUGAGACAAGUAUGUUUCUUCAAAGCAAUUCUAAAGUUCAAAUAUAGCACAUUUCUAACCAUCUGCUUCUACAAAACUUCAAUGAAUGUUUCAAACAACAAGUUUUCUAUGUCCUAUAGCUAGAAGCAACGUCUGCAUAUCCUUCCCAUAAGAAACAGCCAAUGGACCGAAACAGAGAGGAGAAAAAAGCCAAGGCCACUUUUUAAACCCUGCAGCACAGAAAUGGCCACAUCACUUCUGCACACAUUCCACUGGUGAAAACUAUUCACAAGACUCCAUCCAGAUGCAAGAGGAACUGGGAAAUGUGGUCCCUGGCUCAGCCACUUCUCAGAGACAACUAUACGCUAUGGAAAGGGAACACGAACGUUGUUGGGGAUGUGGCCAUCUCUGCCAUCACUUCUCUCUGAGGAAAGGAUGUUGCAGAAGAAACAUGAAGGAUAACAAGAAUCCGACCUGUGAAGAGCUGUGGGAGAGUGCGUCUAGCCAGCCUCGAGACCUAAAGAGCUUUCUGUGCUCAGAGAUUGGAAAGAAGAAACUGAAGUGAAGUGGGUAUGGAAGAAAAAGAAUUUACUGACGGUGAAGUAGAAAGAGAACAGACCUGUGAGUGUUAUAGGCCAUACUGAGGAGUUUGGAUGUUUGCAUCAUUAAAAUAUCAAAAUGUUUUUAGCAGCAUACUAGUCUGAUCCAAGUUAUUUUUGAAAAAUAUGCAUCUAAAAGUGAUGAGAAGAUUGGCAAGAGACAAGAGAUGAGGUUGAAAGACGAAAACUAAGACUUAAAAAUGAGACUCUAUUAUUGUCUUAGCCAAAGACUAAUGUGGAUUGAGUGAAUGCAGAGACUGAAAAUGGAAAGGACAGAAUUUGGCCUCCCCAAGAAACAUAGUGGGUCAUUUGCUUGACCAAUGUGUACAUCUUGCUCAUCUGAUGGGAGGCAUGUGGCACGUGGGUAGCUGCCGGACCUUGCAUUUUGGCAAUAGUCGGACAUAUCCUGAAGUCCUGGGACUCAGGUGGCCAGAAAGGGAGGCCCCAAAAUGAUGCGAGAAGAGACAUAUAAAGAAUAGAAAAGAUAGCAGCAUCCUCAUAUUCACAUUUAGAAAUUCUCAAUGGCAGUUUAGAAGAUAAAUAUUAACAAACCAGAAUGAAGAAAUAGAUGGUUAGCACCUUUUAUUACCAUGGAUAUGAACACAGGCAAAAAAUAAUAACAAUCUAUGUUUCCAGAGCAGCCGUGUUUAUUUGGUGUUUUUCAGGCUUAGGCAGUAGAAUGUCUUUCCUUCAUCUGGACUUUCAGAAUAUUGCUGUGGACGAGAAUUUUAAAUGUUAAGGGACAUGCAGCCCUUAUUUGAUCUAAGACUGGUUUUGAAAAGUAAAACUGUUAGAGUUCCUUUCACACAUUGAAAUGUCUUACCACAUGAGACGUACCUGAGUACCAAAGGAUCUGAGAAAAGAAGGUGAACAUAAUUUCAAACGUAAAGGAUCAGUGAGGAUGUUCACCUCUCGGGAUUCAGUGUGUUGGUCUCCCAAUUUACCUGGAGGAUUAUCUACCAGCUUAGCUGCCUCUGAGAAAUUUUCUGAGGAAAGAAAACUAACCCCUUAGCCUAUUUCAGAAAUUCAUGGAAAGGGGGUUCAUUAAUGCUCCAAUAUAUUUCUGGUGUGUUAGAAAUAACCCAAGAUUCUACAUGCUGUGCACAUGAUGUUUUGCAAGAACACAGAAGACUUUCUUUCUGCCUCAAAAGGCUAAGAUAUAGGUGAUUUGAAAAAGGACAUUGGAGGGCUUUACCUAAGGCAGGCAGCCCAUCUGACAUAGAAGCUAUUCCAUUCACAGCACUACGUAUAACAGCAGAAAAACGGAAUCCAAUGUGAAAUUAUGGUAGUAAGGAAAGAAUAAUAAUUACAAUUUCUGAAAAAAAAAAAUGCUCACUAAGAAGUGAAGCUUGGUAAGCCCUUUCUUGGAAACUCUGGAUAAUUCUACUAAACUUCCACAUUUAAAUGGUAUUAAUGAUAUGAAUACUUAACUAAAUACUCUGGCAGUUUUCAUUAAAGCUUUUGAAGAGGAUCAAAGUCACCAGCGUGUGAAUAUGGGCAGAUUCUGAUUUUAAAAAAAAAAAAUUUUUUAAACAGUAA